GGGCGGUAAGUGCUAAAGGCUGAAACACUGCGGAGGUGCACCGAAGCAGAGAGGCCGGUUCGAUUCCGGCACCGUCCACCA
rnacentral:tRNA from 1 species